rnacentral:rRNA from 1 species
UUCCGGUUGAUCCUGCCGGACCCGACUGCUAUCAGAGUGGGACUAAGCCAUGCGAGUCAACAUAGCAAUAUGUGGCAUACGGCUCAGUAACACGUAGUCAACAUGCCCAGGGGACGUGGAUAACCUCGGGAAACUGAGGAUAAACCGCGAUAGGUCAUCACUUCUGGAAUGGGUAAUGACUUAAACCUAUAUGGCCCCUGGAUUGGACUGCGGCCGAUCAGGCUGUUGGUGAGGUAAUGGCCCACCAAACCUGUAACCGGUACGGGCUCUGAGAGGAGGAGCCCGGAGAUGGGCACUGAGACAAGGGCCCAGGCCCUAUGGGGCGCAGCAGGCGCGAAACCUCUGCAAUAGGCGAAAGCUUGACAGGGUUACUCUGAGUGAUUUCCGUUAAGGAGAUCUUUUGGCACCUCUAAAAAUGGUGCAGAAUAAGGGGUGGGCAAGUCUGGUGUCAGCCGCCGCGGUAAUACCAGCACCCCGAGUGGUCGGGACGUUUAUUGGGCCUAAAGCAUCCGUAGCCGGUUCUACAAGUCUUCCGUUAAAUCCACCUGCUUAACAGAUGGGCUGCGGAAGAUACUAUAGAGCUAGGAGGCGGGAGAGGCAAGCGGUACUCGAUGGGUAGGGGUAAAAUCCACUGAUCCAUUGAAGACCACCAGUGGCGAAGGCGGCCUGCCAGAACGCGCUCGACGGUGAGGGAUGAAAGCUGGGGGAGCAAACCGGAUUAGAUACCCGGGUAGUCCCAGCUGUAAACGAUGCAGACUCGGUGAUGGACUAGCUUUAUGCUAGUCCAGUGCCGCAGGGAAGCCGUUAAGUCUGCCGCCUGGGUAGUACGGUCGCAAGACUGAAACUUAAAGGAAUUGGCGGG